UGUCAUUACACGAUGCAACUGAAUGAUCGCCUCUUUUUAUGGGAGGGAGACACUGAACGACUUGCCACUGCAUUCUUUCUGUUCUGUAAAGACUUCGUUCGAACUAUGAAAUUCAGCAGAAAAUAUUACUUCUGCAAAAUAUUUAGUCCAUUAAUUGUUACUCUCUUUCAGGAGAAAAGAGUUCAAGCCCUGUGACGCUAACGGACUUUAGAUGGAUGAAAAUGAACUUUGCAUUAACGUGCAAAGAUGUUAGUCUCUGAACUCCCAUGUUUGUGUAAUCAUAACCAAAGUGAUAGUAUGUAAAUACUUUUUGUAUAUGUUACUAUAGGUUAAUGGUA